AUAAAAAAAGGGUGCUUUCCAUUUCAGCUCAACAGCAAGCUGAAGUCCAAGAAACACAGCAAGUGAAUGAGCAAAAGGAAGGUGAAAAACAGAACGUGAAGCAACCGACACAGCCAAGACCAGUGGAACCACAAGUGAAUGUGAAGAGCAAGAACAUGAGCAGAGAAUAUGGAGGGCAAUGGCUCAGCUCCGUCACACGCCAUGUGAGGAUAUAUGCAGCCUACAUCGACCCUGAAACUUGGGAAUUUGAUCAAACUCAAAUGGAUAAGCUCACCCUUCUUCUUGAUCCUACAAAUGAGUUUGUGUGGACGGAUGAGACUUGUCACAAGGUCUACUCUUACUUCCAAGAGCUUGUGGAUCACUAUGAGGUAUGUCUGCCAUACGUUUAAUGCCUUAUUUUAUUGGGUAAACCACCAAUGAAUUUUUGCUUAGAACAACACCCAAUAAAUCCAUGACAUUAGCAUCUCUAGCUUGCACGCAAUAAGGAGUUGACACAGAGUACAAAACCGAUAAUCCAUAAAAAAGGGGUAGUCCCUCCAUCUAAGAUAGUCCCUCCAUUUAAAGGCUAAACGUAUCCCCUUAAUUGGGAUAUGGGUUGGGUUCAAACCUUGUAGUUUGUCACCAUCCCUGUGCUAUUAGACCUGAUUCUAUAUCGAUUACCGGUUACCACCUACGAUUGGUAUAUGGGAAAGAUGGAGGAAAAAUUAAGACCUUAUGGGUCAAUGGAUCAUUGCCGUCAUGCCAAUCUGCAAAUUUGGAUAAGUGGAUAUAAAAGUACCAGUAAAUAGCUCAAUGUCUGUUUAUCACAAGGCAAAAAAAAAUCCAGUAUAUUUAAGAAAAAAAUUGUAUGCUGGUGCAACCUUGUUUGAUCCUUGUUUUGCCAUAUCGGAUAUUAACACGUUACUUGAUAUCAGGGUGCCCCAUUGACGGAAUACACACUUCGACUGAUUGGUUCAGACAUAGAGCAUUACAUCAGAAAGCUGUUAUAUGAUGGGGAAAUCAAAUAUAACAUGAAUGCAAAAGUAUUGAACUUCAGCAUGGGGAAGCCACGGAUUCUGUUUAAUAAUGAUGGCCAGCUUCAAGAUGGACAAUAAGAUUUAAAUGGAGCAACUAGACAAAAUAUAGACAGGUUUUGGGUUGUGAGUUGUGACAUGAUCUGAUUAAAUACAGUUUCUCUAUAUAGCCUGUCCCCCACAACUUUGAAAAAGUUGCAUCAAGCAAACACCUUCAGCCACCAAACUUAGCUCCACAGAGUUGACAUCUUUAAUUGAUGCAAUAUUUGAAUGCACAGUCGUGUCUGCCAGGACGUUCUUUCACAAGCUAGAUUCUACUCUACUUAUGAUCUUCAGAGAUGUCAAUGUGAAUCAGAUGCAACAUUUCCAUGUGGCAACACUUCCAAGCAUGAUGAGUCCAUCCAAGGUUUAAAAACUCCUUCGUGUGGCAUACACUCCAACCAAAAGAAAAAUCCACGCAAGAGAUUCAAAAUUUUAGGCUUGUCAGAUCCGGCUGACUUGAUCUUUGUGUAAAGAUCUGGGUGCAGAUCAAGAUAUGAUUUCCGAAUUCCUUGCACUGGGCACACCCUAGUCCGUCCAUUACGCAAUUCUUUUUCCUUUAUAAUUGGCUUAUGGCUAUGUACAUCUACCAAGAGUUUGGUAUACUCCUUUUGGUCAUAAGGCUUUUUGAGAAUUUCUGUAACCCUCUCCAUAAACCAAUAGCAAUGAUUUCUAGAAGAAUCCUUAAUGUCCUCGAUGGCAUCUACAUCCUUGAUUUGUAAAAUGACAUAAAUAAUACAUGAAAGGAACAAAUUUCAGCUAUAAGAAACAUGCAAAAAACAAUAUCUACGAGUUUGUGUGUGUACCAGUAGGAAAAGAAACAUACCAUUGCGACUACUUGUUUUGAAAUCACAAAUGGAGUACAAUUUUCAUUACCAAAUGGAUCAGUGUCCAUCACAAUUACUUCAGAAUCAGAUGAACUCUCUUCAUCCUCUCCAUAUACCACCUUUGCACCACUUUCAUGCACAAAUACCACAUUAUUCUCCUCUCUCUUCAGACAGUUCAGGAAAAUUUUGUAGCUCUCAUCCAUAUCACAUUCCAUCUCUGGUUUGCAAUCAUGUUUGGUCACACCUGCAGCUUCUCGACUAGGCCUCAUUUUUCUGAGAUUUUCCACUUCACAACUGCUGUGUGGCCCAUCAUCCACUUCAUAAUUAAUAAUGACAGAAAUCCCAUCUUUCAGUGAAACCUCAAGCACAUAUGCUUUUCCAUCUUCUCUCAAAUUUCCUAGGAACAUCUUAUAUUCUGAAUCAAUAUCAUCCAAAUCGUCAUUGUGAUCAGCAUCAAUGUUUGCAGACCUAUUCUCCACAAACCCACCAUUAUUAGUAACAUUCUCAACAGACUGAUUGCUGCAAGGAUCAAUCUCUACAGAGUGACUACCGGAAUUAAUAUCAACAGCAACAUUGUCCACAGACUGAUCAUUUCCACCACCACCACCACCAAACUGUUCUAAAUCAACAAGCUUCUUGUAAUCAACAUGAUCAUCAAUUUUAAUAUAGUUGUUUUCUGUGAUUUUCUUAUGCUGAGGAUUCAUAUCACAGCAAGCAUUAUCAUUGUUAUUAUUAUAUGCUUCGUCAUUGAUGGAUUCAUUCUCUAUCAAUUCAUCUCCACUAGUACCAUUCUCUACUAAUCCAUUAAAAGCAGUAGCAUUAACACGAUUAUCCAUGAUACUAUCAAUAUAAACAUCACUAUCAACAAAUGGAUCAGAAGGUAGACUAUCCAAAUACUUCAUGUAAUCAGAAUCCCAAUAUUCUCCUUUAUCAUCAAUCUCAAUAUUGUUGCUUUCCAGCACCGUCCCGUUCUGAGGAUGUCCGACAUUUUUUAGAGCAUCAACAACAGUUAAGGACCUGUUCUCUACCAAAGCACGACUUCCAGUGUCACUAUCAUCCAGAGACAUAUGGUUAGAAACAUGAUCAUCACCAAUUGAUUUUAAAGCUCUACCAUUGAAAAAAUUCUCGUAAUCGGCAUCCAUUGAUUCAUCAUCAUCAAGAAUCUCAAUGUGGUUAAUGUCAAGGAUUUUCUUAGAACCUUCAUUAGAAUUACCUUCACCAGAGCUAAUUUUACUACCAGAAUUGAGCUUGAAAUCAUGAUAGGCGCAAAGCUUUCUCUUCCAUCGCCUGGCCAACCUCACAUCAUCCUCCAAAUCAACCACCUCAUCAUCACCAUCAUCAACCCUGCCCCAACUUCCGGUGUUUCUCCUUUUGCAUCCCAUUCUAAUAAUUGGAGAUUUCUCUUCAAAAAUAAAACAAGAAAACAGAAGAGAACCCUCGACUUUUGAGUGGAAGAAUCAGAAGCGUAGCACAGCAAACAAAGAUAAUCUUUUCCAAUAUUUAUUAGGUCUUCCACAGUCCACACUUUGGCUCCUACUGACGGAGAGGUUGCGCAAUUAAAUGUGGGCACAUCAAUACGCUGCCGUAUUGCAUCGCUUUAUUGGACCUUAGGUGGUUAGGGCUAGUGGAUUGGACUUCUUUUUUUGAGGUCCUAAUUAGACCCGACUGCAUCAUUCAUUGGGCCAAGUUAGGUUCAAGUUGGGCCAGAAUAAACCCCUGUGGCUUCUCCGGCCGUGA
rnacentral:misc_RNA from 1 species